CCCCAGACUCCUACGGGAGGCAGCAGUGGGGGAUAUUGCACAAUGGGGGGAACCCUGAUGCAGCGACGCCGCGUGGGUGAAGAAGCGCCUCGGCGCGUAAAGCCCUGUCAGCAGGGAAGAAAAUGACGGUACCUGAAGAAGAAGCCCCGGCCAACUACGUGCCAGCAGCCGCGGUAAUACGUAGGGGGCAAGCGUUAUCCGGAUUUACUGGGUGUAAAGGGAGCGUAGACGGCGACGCAAGUCUGAAGUGAAAUGCCAGUGCUCAACACUGGAACUGCUUUGGAAACUGUGUGGCUAGAGUGCAGGAGAGGUAAGUGGAAUUCCUAGUGUAGCGGUGAAAUGCGUAGAUAUUAGGAGGAACACCAGUGGCGAAGGCGGCUUACUGGACUGUAACUGACGUUGAGGCUCGAAGGCGUGGGGAGCAAACAGGAUUAGAUACCCCAGUA
rnacentral:rRNA from 1 species